rnacentral:lncRNA from 1 species
GAAGUUUGUUGAAGUAGAUAGGAAUUCAUCAAAUAGACACCAUGUCGUAAGUAUAUUAGACUCAUAAUUAAUCAUUUUCAAUGGAAGAGUAAUAUUAUUUUUUUUAUAAUCAUUUAUCUUGAAUAAUGUUUUAAUAUUAUUUAUUCAACAGUCAAUAAAACUCAAUCACUGCCAAGUCUUUUCUACUCAAUUUAAAUUUUGUUGAAGUCAAUACGAAUUCAUUGCCAUUUGUCAUCUGGACUUUUUCUACUUCAACAUUUAAAUUGCAAAUUUUGUAUUGAGUAAAAUGCCAUGACAGGGAUUCAGUUUAAUAAAACCCAAACAUUCUUUAUCGGUGGUUUUAUUAAACUGAACCACUGUCAAGACCUUUUCUAUUCAAUUUGAAGUUUGUUGAAGUAGAUAGGAAUUCAUGGAAUAGACCCCAUGUCGUAAGUAUAUUAGACUCAUAAUAAUUAACCUUUUUAAUGGUAGAAUAAUAUUUGUGUAAUCAUUUAUCUGGAAUAAUGUUUGAAUAUUAUUUAUUUAACAGUCAAUUAAAAUCAAUCACUGUCGUGUCAUUUCUACUCAAUUAAAAUUUUGUUCAAGUCUUUACGAAUUCAUCGCCAUUUGUCAUCUGGACUUUUUCUACUUCAACAUUUAAAUUGCAAAUUUUGUAUUGAGUAAAAUGCCAUGACAGGGAUUCGGUUUAAAGAAACCUAAAUAAGUUUUCUCGGUAACUUUAAACCGAACCACUGUCAAGACCUUUUCUAUUCAAUUUGAAGUUUGUUGAAGUAGAUAGGAAUUCAUCAAAUAGACACCAUGUCGUAAGUAUAUUAGACUCAUAAUUAAUCAUUUUCAAUGGAAGAGUAAUAUUAUUUAUUCAACAGUCAAUAAAACUCAAUCACUGUCAAGUCUUCUCUACUCAAUUUAAAUUUUGUUGAUGUUAAUACGAAUUCAUCAAAUAGACGCCAUGAGGUUAGUAUAUUAGACUCAUAAUAAUUAAUAAUUUUAAAUGGUAGAAUAAUAUUUGUGUAAUCAUAUAUCUUGAAUAAUGUUUGAAUAUUAUUUAUUUAACAGUCAAUUAAAAUCAAUCACUGUCAAGUCUUUUCUACUCAAUUUAAAUUUUGUUGAAGUCAAUACGAAUUCAUUGCCAUUUGUCAUCUGGACUUUUUCUACUUCAACGGUUAAAUUGCAAAUUUUGUAUUGAGUAAAAAGUUUAAUUAAACCACGAAAGGAUUUCAAUGUUUAAUUAAACUGAAACACUGUCAAGUCAUUUCUACUCAAUUUAAGGUUUGUUGAUGUUAAUACGAAUUCAUCAAAUAGACGCCAUGAGGUUAGUAUAUUAGACUCAUAAUAAUUAAUAAUUUUAAAUGGUAGAAUAAUAUUUGUGUAAUCAUUUAUCUGGAAUAAUGUUUGAAUAUUAUUUAUUUAACAGUCAAUUAAAAUCAAUCACUGUCGUGUCAUUUCUACUCAAUUAAAAUUUUGUUCAAGUCUUUACGAAUUCAUCGCCAUUUGUCAUCUGGACUUUUUCUACUUCAACAUUUAAAUUGCAAAUUUUGUAUUGAGUAAAAUGCCAUGACAGGGAUUCAGUUUAAUAAAACCCAAACAUUCUUUAUUGGUGGUUUUAUUAAACUGAACCACUGUCAAGACCUUUUCUAUUCAAUUUGAAGUUUGUUGAAGUAGAUAGGAAUUCAUGGAAUAGACCCCAUGUCGUAAGUAUAAUAGACUCAUAAUUAAUAACCUUUUUAAUGGUAGA